rnacentral:rRNA from 1 species
AGGAGAGUUUGAUCCUGGCUCAGGAUGAACGCUAGCGGCAGGCUUAACACAUGCAAGUCGAGGGGCAGCGGGUGUAGCAAUACAUGCCGGCGACCGGCGCAAGGGUGCGUAACGCGUGAGCGACAUGCCCGUGACUGGGGGAUAACCGAUGGAAACGUCGCCUAAUCCCGCAUAACACAUGAUACUGCAUGGUAUCAUGUUGAAAACUCUGGUGGUCACGGAUUGGCUCGCGUAUCAUUAGCUAGUCGGCGGGGUAACGGCCCACCGAGGCGACGAUGAUUAGGGGUUCUGAGAGGAAGGUCCCCCACAAUGGAACUGAGACACGGUCCAUACUCCUACGGGAGGCAGCAGUGAGGAAUAUUGGUCAAUGGGCGGAAGCCUGAACCAGCCAUGCCGCGUGCAGGAUGACGGCCCUAUGGGUUGUAAACUGCUUUUGAGCGGGAGCAAUAAGGGCCUCGAGGAGGUCUGAUGAGAGUACCGUUCGAAUAAGCAUCGGCUAACUCCGUGCCAGCAGCCGCGGUAAUACGGAGGAUGCGAGCGUUAUCCGGAUUUAUUGGGUUUAAAGGGUGCGUAGGCUGUGCGCUAAGUCAGGGGUGAAAUGUCCGGGCUCAACCUGGGAGCUGCCUUUGAUACUGGCGUGCUGGAGUACGGAUGCCGUUGGAGGAAUGAGUGGUGUAGCGGUGAAAUGCAUAGAUAUCACUCAGAACACCGAUUGCGAAGGCAUCUGACGAAUCCGUCACUGACGCUGAGGCACGAAAGCGUGGGGAUAGAACAGGAUUAGAUACCCUGGUAGUCCCCU